GAGUUUCUUCAGUACGUAUUGUGUUCUCUGGCAUUGGCAGCAUCUAAUCUUGACGUGGAAGACACUUGGGUGUUUUACAGCUGUUGCAGAGUAAGAAGUGUCAACUUCAUUGGACAUGAAGGAGAAAUCUCAAACAGAGCGGGAAGCAAUUAUGUAUUCAAGGUCAGGCAGAGCAAGAAACAUGCAUCAGAGCCCCCACCUGAGGCAGAUUCACUCUUCUUUGCUGUUGAAUAGCCAGAAUUCAUCUUUGAAAAAUUUACUGUGAAAAUAAAAACAACUGUCAAAUGAAGAAAAUAAAACACAGAGUACUCAACUGUUUUGUCAGGCAUAGAAAUUAAAUUUUAAGUCUGUUGUACUUUUGAUGAAAGUAUGCACAUAUGGGCUCAGAGCUUAUCAAAUUGUGACAAAUUUUGUGUUUGUUUAAGGUUCCACACUGGAGGCUGAGUAACUUGGAGGCACAGGAUAAUAAAAGCACAUGCAAGCGAG
rnacentral:lncRNA from 10 species